rnacentral:rRNA from 1 species
AGAGUUUGAUCCUGGCUCAGAACGAACGCUGGCGGCAGGCUUAACACAUGCAAGUCGAACGAACUCUUCGGAGUUAGUGGCAGACGGGUGAGUAACGCGUGGGAACCUACCUUUAGGUACGGAACAACAGUUGGAAACGACUGCUAAUACCGUAUGUGCCCUAUGGGGGAAAGAUUUAUCGCCUAAGGAUGGGCCCGCGUUGGAUUAGCUAGUUGGUGGGGUAAAGGCCUACCAAGGCGACGAUCCAUAGCUGGUCUGAGAGGAUGAUCAGCCACACUGGGACUGAGACACGGCCCAGACUCCUACGGGAGGCAGCAGUGGGGAAUAUUGGACAAUGGGCGCAAGCCUGAUCCAGCCAUGCCGCGUGAGUGAUGAAGGCCCUAGGGUUGUAAAGCUCUUUCAGCGAGGAGGAUAAUGACGUUACUCGCAGAAGAAGCCCCGGCUAACUUCGUGCCAGCAGCCGCGGUAAU